UACGUAGGGUGCAAGCGUUAAUCGGAAUUACUGGGCGUAAAGCGUGCGCAGGCGGUUGUUUAAGUCAGCUGUGAAAUCCCCGGGCUUAACCUGGGAAUGGCAGUUGAGACUGGGCAGCUGGAGUGUGUCAGAGGGGGGUAGAAUUCCACGUGUAGCAGUGAAAUGCGUAGAGAUGUGGAGGAAUACCGAUGGCGAAGGCAGCCCCCUGGGAUAACACUGACGCUCAUGCACGAAAGCGUGGGGAGCAAACAGG
rnacentral:rRNA from 1 species